rnacentral:rRNA from 1 species
UGGGGAAUAUUGCGCAAUGGGCGAAAGCCUGACGCAGCAACGCCGCGUGAGUGAUGAAGGCCUUCGGGUCGUAAAGCUCUGUCGGAGGGAACGAAUGCUCCUGAAGUUAACAGCCUCAGGAGGUGACGGUACCCUCAAAGGAAGCACCGGCUAACUCUGUGCCAGCAGCCGCGGUAAUACAGAGGGUGCAAGCGUUGUUCGGAAUCAUUGGGCGUAAAGGGCGUGUAGGCGGUAUGUUAAGUCAUGUGUGAAAUCCCCCGGCUUAACCUGGGAACUGCGUCUGAUACUGGAGGGCUUGAGUAUGGGAGAGGGAUGUAGAAUUCCAGGUGUAGCGGUGAAAUGCGUAGAUAUCUGGAGGAAUACCGGUGCGAAGGCGGCAUCCUGGACCAUUACUGACGCUGAGGCGCGAAAGCUAGGGGAGCAAACGGGAUUAGAUACCCACGUAGUCCCUGAGCGGGCUGGCAAGGCGCAU